AGUGAACGCUGGCGGUAGGCCUAACACAUGCAAGUCGAACGGCAGCACAGUAAGAGCUUGCUCUUACGGGUGGCGAGUGGCGGACGGGUGAGGAAUACAUCGGAAUCCACUCUUUCGUGGGGGAUAACGUAGGGAAACUUACGCUAAUACCGCAUACGACCUACGGGGGUAAGCAGGGGAUCUUCGGACUUUGCGCGAUUGAAUGAGCCGACGUCGGCUUAGCUCGUUGGCGGGGUAAAGGCCCACCAAGGCGACGAUCCGUAGCUGGUCUGAGGGGAUGGACAGCCACACUGGAACUGAGACACGGCCCAGACUCCGGCGGGAGGCAGCAGUGGGGAAUAUUGGACGAGGGGCGCAAGCCUGAUCCAGCCAUACCGCGGGGGUGAAGAAGGCCUUCGGGUUGUAAAGCCCUUUUGUUGGGAGAGAAGAACAGCAGGUUAAUACGGGACUGUACUGACGGUACCGAAAGAAUAAGCACCGGCUAACUUCGUG
rnacentral:rRNA from 1 species